UCAGACAUGGUGUAGCGGUAACAUCGCCUCUGGUUAUAAAUUUGCACCCCAAUAAUAGGGGGUGGUCCCGGGUUCGAAUCCCGGUGUCGGAG